rnacentral:rRNA from 1 species
GACAGAAGGGGUUAGUGUUAUUUUUCAUAAAUGGGUGUAAAAUGUGUGUAGGCAACAAUUUGAAACUUCUUUUUAAAUCUUUAUGAUGUAAAAACUUAAGUUUAGUUUAAUUGUCGAGUAAUUUUGAUAUAAGUAACUUUCAAUUUCUUGUAGAUGCAAGGAUAAAAUUUGAGUAAGACAGGAAGGAAAACCAAUUGCGAAGGCAUAGUUCUAGGUAAAAUUACAGCUGAGACACGAAAACAUGGGGAGCAAAAAGG